rnacentral:pre_miRNA from 1 species
ACCUGGCACACAGUGUAGGAGACUGUGUAACCAUGGCAACAGCUACAUUGUCUGCUGGGUUC